UUGAUCCCAGGACCCUGGGAUCAUGACCUGAGCCAAAGGCAGAGGCUUUACCACACUGAGACAUCCAAGCACCCCAAGAUCUUUUUUCUUGAAG